GAUGUUCAAUUCGUAGGUAUAAAAUCUACUCAUCAUGCAUCAUCUCUCUUUCUAAUGGGCAAGAAAUUAUAGACGUCGAUUUCUUGAUGUAUGAAUAAAAAAAUUCUCCAGUAACGGUCGGUGCUUAUUGUUCUUUUGUGUUUUGCCAGAGGAUCUAUCGAUUUGGGUUUCCUGACCUUGUCGUCGGAAAUCAUGGUGCUUUACCAGCUGAUUUGUAGUUUCAUCUAAUUUAUUGAAUUUUUGUGUCUAAUCUCUGAGACCAAGUUCGUCGGCAUCCAUGGAUGUGACUGGGCUGCUACGGAUUUUGGGGUUCCUUUCCAUUUUUGACCUGAUCUGCUUUUUUUGAUGCUCUUAUGGUCAACUUAGAUAUGAGUUGUUGCUUUUUCUUUUUCUUGUUCAUUUCUGGUGGAUCGGAUUUGAGAUUGUGGGUUGGUCUCAUGAUCUGAGUUUGAGGGCAAGAUGAUGGUUUUAAGGUUUGAUUUUUCUAUGAGUUUGAGUUUUGAGGUAAGACGGUGGGUUGUUUCUAGAUCUGUGUUUGAGUUUUGAGGUUUUGAUAUAGUCGUUGAUUUGAGUUUUGAUGAUAAUUUGGUUUGAUAAAAAUGAUUUUUGGAUUUUUGGAUUUUUGGUUUUAUUUAUUUGAAGAAAUGAGUAGUUAAG
rnacentral:lncRNA from 1 species